AUGAACGCUGGCGGCGUGCCUAAUACAUGCCAGUCGAGCGAACAGACGAGGAGCUUGCUCCUCUGACGUUAGCGGCGGACGGGUGAGUAACACGUGGAUAACCUACCUAUAAGACUGGGAUAACUUCGGGAAACCGGAGCUAAUACCGGAUAACAUGUUGAACCGCAUGGUUCAACAGUGAAAGACGGUCUUGCUGUCACUUAUAGAUGGAUCCGCGCCGCAUUAGCUAGUUGGUAAGGUAACGGCUUACCAAGGCAACGAUGCGUAGCCGACCUGAGAGGGUGAUCGGCCACACUGGAACUGAGACACGGUCCAGACUCCUACGGGAGGCAGCAGUAGGGAAUCUUCCGCAAUGGGCGAAAGCCUGACGGAGCAACGCCGCGUGAGUGAUGAAGGUCUUCGGAUCGUAAAACUCUGUUAUUAGGGAAGAACAAAUGUGUAAGUAACUAUGCACGUCUUGACGGUACCUAAUCAGAAAGCCACGGCUAACUACGUG
rnacentral:rRNA from 1 species